UUGUUUUGCCUAGCAUACACAUUUAUUUUUUUUUUUUUUUCCUAUCUCGCACCUCAACUCAAUAAAAAUAUGUCAUUCAACAAAAAUUUGCACAUGGCCCAGAAAGUUUGAGCUGGCAAAUGUCUGCCAGAUGGACAGUAAACAUUUGAGCCGGCACCUCUAUAUGUGAAAGAUGGUUCUGAGUUUAAAAAACAAGUUUGGAGGAAAAAUCUCACCCUCUCAAAUUAUUCUUCAAAGAAUCCGAGAAUUUGCAACCCUGUUUACUUAUCCAAGAGAGCAAUUUUUUAGAGACCAUGUCCUUGCCUCAUGCCUGCUGCCAUCUCCUUGCCUCAUACCCUCUCCAUGGUUGCUUGUUCACCAGUUUCCCUAAUCUCAACACUCAUUGGGAGAGGAAGAGUAGUUUCAGUGAAUGCUAGAGUUCAGAAAGAACGCAGCUGCAUUCGGAGUGGAAGAGUGUGAUUGGAUUAAAGGUUUCGGUGGAAGAGUGUUUAGGUCUCCUACUUUGUUUGAGGACAUGGUCAAGUGCAUUCUUCUCUGCAAUUGCUAAAAAUGCUAGGCCCAAAUGUUGAAGAAACUAUUUCAACCAAGAGAGGAAACUGCAGUAGUGCAAAUAAAGUAACAGGUGCACAAGCGGUUAGGCCAAUUGGAAUUGUGAUCCAUUUCACUCUAUGAAACAAAACCAAGUGAAAGGCUGCUGUGAAUGCUACAAGCAUGGAGGCUAUUGAAAAGAAUAAUGUGAUAAGACCGAUGCUCAACCUCAUUGGCAAGGCCUUGAGAAAAUCUUCUUCAGAAUAGCGUGAUGUGAGUAUUCCCAGAAACAUAAGCAAUGAGGUUGAGGAAGAAAAAAGUCCCAAGGCAUCUGAUACCGCAAAAAUCAUGAAAGAUGUUUCUUUUAAAUAAAUGGGGAUCCCUUGUUCGCUAUGGUUGCCGCCUGGUACAGUGAAAGCUGCUGCAAACACAACUGUGACCACAAGUGCAGCGACUGUUGCGCAUGAUGAAGCUGUAUCCUUCAUCCAUUUCUCACCUUUCCCAACUAGAUCCUUGUGUUCCUCAGUGAAAACCUCCCUCGGAAUUUUUCCAUCUUUAUUUUUCAUUUCCUUGUAUGAUGGUUGGACAACCUUUUCCACUUCCUGUAUAAAAUUUCAGAAAGAAAUGAUGUUAAAAAAAAAAAAAAAAGGGACAGGACAAAAUCUUGACUACUACUUUGCUGUUUGCAAGAGGAAAUGCCAUCUAAAUAAGAUUUAGUAUUGGAGAAUUUAUAACCUUGAACCAUUGCAACUCCCUUUGCAUUUGCAGAGCAGCACCAGAUAUCUUGUUUGAUGGUUCCAACUUCCCUGCUAAAUGCAACAUGUUGUUGCCAAAGUCAUCCUCUAGUGAUGUAGCAAAAAGAUUAUGCGUACCCAUUUGAUAUAGGAGAUUGAAUAUUUUUUCUUGGCGA